UAAAGAAGACCUUUACUCGUACUCGGUUGUUUCCUAUUAUUCUCAAAACUUAGAUGAGCCAUGUUCGGAGUAAUAGUACCCGGCCUUCCGGUCCUAGUUAACGGAAUGGUUAUUGAUGCAAACAAAAUAUUGUUUAACCUUCCAGAUCUUUUUACUGGGAAAAAAAGUAGCCAUCUCGUUGUCUUUUUAACAGGAGCGCAGUCUCUCUUUGAAAGUUUAGGAGCUGCGAUAUAUUUGUGUACCGACAAGGAUAAUUGGCAAUACUUGGGCUAUAUCUCCAACAAUAAACCUUCGGCUAUAUUCAAAAUUUCUGCCAAUUCAAUAAAUACUAUGCGCCAUUCCGAAAACACCUUUGGUUCUUCGUCUGAAAGUUUUCAGUUGGCGCUCAAGUCUAACGAAAUUUUGGGUAUUUCAGUUGAGCCUUUAGAGACUAUUGAGCAACUUACUGUUUCCCUUCCUGAAACCUCUAAUCCAACUACUUUAAUCGCUUUUUGCCAUAAGAUGUUGGAAAAUUUUUAUAACUACGCCUCUUCUUUUGCACAAUCAUAUAAUCAGAUAGGAGACUUAAACACAGAGGUCAUCCCCAUAAAAGUUCUUCAGCUUUGGUUUGAUUCCA